rnacentral:misc_RNA from 1 species
UCCGAGUUGACCCCGGCAGUCUCCUACGAGUCCCCACCAUUACGUGCUGGCAACAUAGGACAAGGGUUGCGCUCGUUGCGGGACUUAACCCAACAUCUCACGACACGAGCUGACGACAGCCAUGCACCACCUGUCACCCAGUCCGAAGAGGGCCCCAUCUCUGGAGCUUUCCGGGUGAUGUCAAACCCAGGUAAGGUUCUUCGCGUUGCAUCGAAUUAAUCCGCAUGCUCCGCUGCUUGUGCGGGCCCCCGUCAAUUCUUUUGAGUUUUAGCCUUGCGGCCGUACUCCCCAGGCGGGACACUUAACGCGUUAACUGCGGCACAGAGGGAUUCGACUCCCCCCACACCUAGUGUCCAUCGUUUACGGCUAGGACUAC